CAAAAAAAAAAAAAAAAAAAAAAAAACUGGAUCGCACACUACUCAAGGAAUGGAAGAACACAAUGUUUCCUUUAUUGUCUAAAUGAUUGUAGGAGAAUAGAGACUGGAGGCGAUGUCAUUCUCGAAUGUGCUCGUUCAAACACCGAGCCGAGGGACGGGCAUCAAGUCUGAAAUAGUUCAGACUGGCAAGACUCGACGAUUUCUCAUGAAGAAGAAGAUGGGAAUGCAAAGCAAACAGAUGGGUUUUUUCCUAAAAAUUUGGUCCUUCAAACUACAAUCCUCUUUGUUUCAAUGCUUGCGUUUCUUCAAUCAUAAUAGAUGUAAUUGUUUGCUUUCAGUUUCAUUUUAA